AAGGAAUCAGAAAGGAAAGUAGGGAGGGAGAAAGGAAGGACGGACAGAUGGAAGGUAGGAAAGAAGGACGGACAGAUGGAAGGUAGGAAGGAAGGACAGAUGGAAUGUAGGAAGGAAGGAAGGUAGGAAGGAAGGACGGACAGAUGGAAGGUAGGAAGGAA